GGGAUGGGGAUCAAUCAUGACAUCCGGUCUAAUGGCUAUUGAAUAAGCGGAAACCCCUCCCAAUGAAUGGGAAAUUUUUUCGGGUUUUACCCUAGACUUUAGGAAGUCAACCAAAAACAGCUAAGUUCCUAAAAUAAGUAAAUUCGGGCGUUUUUGGAUGGGAAGGAGCGAUGGAGGGACGAUAGAGCGCGCUCAAACCUCACCAUGUCUUACUUCAAGCCGC
rnacentral:misc_RNA from 1 species